CCUACGGGAGGCAGCAGUGGGGAAUUUUGGACAAUGGGCGCAAGCCUGAUCCAGCCAUGCCGCGUGCGGGAAGAAGGCCUUCGGGUUGUAAACCGCUUUUGUCAGGGAAGAAAUCCCUUGAGCUAAUGCCUCGGGGGGAUGACGGUACCUGAAGAAUAAGCACCGGCUAACUACGUGCCAGCAGCCGCGGUAAUACGUAGGGUGCAAGCGUUAAUCGGAAUUACUGGGCGUAAAGCGUGCGCAGGCGGUUAUGUAAGACAGGUGUGAAAUCCCCGGGCUUAACCUGGGAACUGCACUUGUGACUGCAUAGCUUGAGUGCGGCAGAGGGGGAUGGAAUUCCGCGUGUAGCAGUGAAAUGCGUAGAUAUGCGGAGGAACACCGAUGGCGAAGGCGAAUACCCCUCGGGCCUGCACUGACGCUCAUGCACGAAAGCGUGGGGAGGCAAACAGGAUUAGAUACCCUGGUAGUCCACGCCCUAAACCGAUGUCAACUGGUUGUUGGACGGCUUGCUGUUCAGUAACGUAGCUAACGCGUGAAGUUGACCGCCUGGGGNGGACGCGCGAGUAGAGUAGAGAAGUAGAGCGNGAGAGAGCGAGACGACGACGAGGGAGGAGG
rnacentral:rRNA from 1 species